GUCAAGCACUCAGACUUUGGAGUAUGAACUCCACUGAGCCCACUGUCGUAAUAAAGGUUUUUCUCCACCUCUUCAAGUGACCAUCAGAUGCUCGAGUCUUCAAAUUGCAAUAGCUGUGAUGCUGAGCUGUGACACUCUGCUGUAACACUGAGCUCUAACACUUGGCUGUGCCUCAGAGCUGUAACACUUGGCUAUAGCACUGAGCUGUUCUGCUUUGCCACAACACCCAGAGCACUGGGAUUACAGGUGUAGCCCACAUUAGCUCAGAGGGAAUGUUGUAUAUUUUUGGGGGGUACCAGGGUUUGAACUCAGGACCUUGUGCUUGUGAGGCAGGCGGUGGAACCACUGAGCUAAAUCCCCAGCCUGGGAAUGUUGUAUUAAAUCAUCACUGCCAGACCAUCAGUUUUCUCUCUGAAGAUACACACCAGGUCAUGGAGCAGAAGCGGUAAACUCACAGAGGUGCUGAAUGACCAACAAGUGACAAGAACCUGUUGAUGUGAGUAUGUCCGGAAUCUUCCGAUCAGCACCUGUCUGGGUUGCUAUGUAUGUAUCCACGUUGACAGUUCAUGUACUGCAGUGUAUUUAUCACCUCCCUUUCGAAUUGAACUGAGAACUCUAAGCGCCUGAUUUAAACCAUCAGCUGGAGAGCUUGCUGAGGCAGGCACAGCUGAAAGGCUUGGGCUCUGUGGUUGCCGAGCAAGACCUGAGCAGUCAGUCGCCCCUUGAACUGUAGGGCUCUGCACCUUGCUUCCCUAUGCUCACCACUUGUGGUAUUUGGAACUGGAUAGAGCCAGAAAUUCCAAAAAGAAGCCACCUCAGCAAAAUCAACAAUCUGUUUUUCCUUGAAAAUUCAAAGACGCACUAGACAAAUGAGUCCCUCUGAAAAGCUGUCCUUUUGUAAAGGAAAAUGAUAUCUACAAAGAAAAAUGAUCACCAGACAAGGUACCGGGAAGAGAGGCUUCAGACAACUUCUACAGCCUGAAAGCCUUUCAUCUACAAAAAGCAAACUGCUUUAUCCACCGUCCAUUUCCUUCUCUCCCUCUUAUAAUUUGUCUCCAUCUGCCCCAGAAGCCCGGUGCUCUUCCUGCCCUCAGGAUGCUCUAUAAACCUCGGUCAUGGGA